GAGGAAUUAGUUCAAUUGGUAGAGCAUUUGUUUUACACACAAAAAGUUUGUAGGUUCGAAUCCUGCAUUCCUUA
rnacentral:tRNA from 1 species